UACGAAGGGGGCUAGCGUUGUUCGGAAUUACUGGGCGUAAAGCGCGCGUAGGCGGAUAAGUAAGUCAGGGGUGAAAUGCCGAGGCUCAACCUCGGAACUGCCUUUGAUACUGCUAAUCUGGAGUACGGGAGAGGUGAGUGGAAUUCCGAGUGUAGAGGUGAAAUUCGUAGAUAUUCGGAGGAACACCAGAAGCGAAGGCGGCUCACUGGCCCGAUACUGACGCUGAGGCGCGAAAGCGUGGGGAGCAAACAGG
rnacentral:rRNA from 1 species